rnacentral:rRNA from 1 species
GCCAGCAGCAAUAUCACCCUGCAACUCUCAACUGGCUGCCCACAGAAGCUAAGCAGGGUUGAGCCUGGUCAGUACCUGGAUGUGAGACCUCCUGGGAAACUCUGGUUGCUGCUGGAA